UACGUAGGGUGCGAGCGUUAAUCAGAAUUACUGGGCGUAAAGCGUGCGCAGGCGGUUUUGUAAGCCAGAUGUGAAAUCCCCGGGCUUAACCUGGGAAUGGCAUUUGGGACUGCAAGGCUUGAGUGCGGCAGAGGAGACUGGAAUUCCUGGUGUAGCAGUGAGAUGCGUAGAUAUCAGGAGGAACACCGAUGGCGAAGGCAGGUCUCUGGGCUGACACUGACGCUCAUGCACGAAAGCGUGGGGAGCAAACAGG
rnacentral:rRNA from 1 species